ACCGCAAAGCAUGCAAAAGGGCGGGGGCAAAUAAAAUGAGAUAUCUUCUCAGCCAGGAUUUAAGCGAUACAGCUCGGCGUUUUCUAAUCUAAAGAACAAACAAGAAAUACUUGAAGCGAACGGCCAUCUUGGAAACCCUGAGAAAGGAAAAUAAUCCCUCGCACACGACUGCCUUCUUCCGGGGUUUGAUCCGAAGUUGCAAAUCUACGGCAGGAAGACUGGGAUUAAAAAUGGUCUUCCCAACCGCCAGCCUUUCGGAAUCAGUCAACCACCCAGGGGCACUGACAAAGCUACUUUAAAUGGAGUUGAGAGCUGCAUGAACUAAAAGCUUGAAUUGAAGGAAGAAUUCCAAAUUGCUCUUCAUUUCUUCAGCAUGCAAUACUGUAUUCAGGAUGAGUGUAUGCCAACUCAUAGUAUAUUUACAUUCAUGUAUUGUGAACUACAGAUACAGAUUUCU